GUGGUGUUUGGAUCGUCCCUGCCGGCUGGCUCCGUGCCCGUCCACCGAACGGUCGGCAGGCGAUCCGCGUCGGUCGUGCUGGGAGGUAUGGUUCCCCAGAGGCCGGUUCUUGUGCUGCCUACCCCUUCAGGGGAAGCGGGCCACUCGAUGUCAGCCUCCAUCCGGCGCCCUCCAACGGGCGCAGGAGGACAACGUAGCACCCCCCACGUUCCACCGAGCCCCCGUCGGUCGCGUGGCGCGCGGGGAAGUGCGACGCUCUCGGACCCAGCGAACGCCGUGGGCGAGGACUCACGUCCCAGUCCCGAURGAAGCUCCCGUACAACGCAUGACGGCCGCUCCCGUCCCCCGACCGCCCCGGCGGCGCGGGGGCGAGGCGCGGCGUCGCGGAGGAAUGCUACCUGGUUGAUCCUGCCAGUAGUCAUAUGCUUGUCUCAAAGAUUAAGCAAUUUUUUAAAAAUU
rnacentral:misc_RNA from 1 species